UCCCCGGCCCCACUGCCCCUCUGCACCUCUGCCCACAGCGCGCCCACAGAAGGGGGUGGUCCGCGCCCCUCGACGGGGCCGAGCCCUGGAGAGUGCCCCGGCCCUCAGUCCCAGCCUAACGGUUUCCGCGGCGCCUCCUCCGGGGCGGGACGGGGUUGGGACGGCUCGGUGUCCCCCGCCUUUCGCGGAGGGAGUGCCCGCGCUCUCACCUCCGAGUCACGCCGUUCUGAGGCAGAAGGCGGCUCCUCUGGCGCCUCUUCUUAGGGUUCCUGAUCGUUGUCUCUCUACCUCAGCUGCAGAGUCAGCUCUCAGGGCCGCCGCGGCCGCCGGCGCGCUGACUGUUGGGGUUGUUUCCUGGCAGUGACGCCGCCGCCUCAGCCCCGCUCUUCGCUCCCUCUCCGCGUAGCUCCCGCUUUCUGUUUCACCCGAGGGACCACGAACGCCGCCGCCGCCAUGCUUACUACGGAGCCGGGAGGAGGAGCCCGAAGUCGGCGCGCCGAGUGCGGCUGCGCGGGCCCCGCCGACGGAGCCCGCGGCCGGGACCCCGAACCCCCGCCUCGAGCCCGCCGCGCCGGGGCUCUCUCACCGGAACGCGAGUCCCCGCGGGGCCACCGGCGCGUGGCGGCUGAGCGGCCGCGUUUGGCUCCCGGAGCGCCCACACCCUCUCGGGCUUCCGGCUUUCUCCCGAGGCCCGGCUGCGCCUGGCUUGUGGUAGCAUCCGCUGUGGCCAGGCUCGGAGCUACACUCAGGAAAAGUGGAGUUAAUGGAGGUUCCUAGAGACACUCACACAAUUCUCAAUCCACAUUUCAAAAGGCUCCCCUGAGACGCACCCUGUCGGCCCCUUUCCGAAAGCACGCGAACUUAAGGCUGGCAGGUGCUUUAAAAGACACUCCUCCCAAGGACUAGGAAGCCUCUGAAAUGGGCUUGGAAGUUUCUAAUCCCAAAGACUUCGAACCCAGGAUCUGGAUAGCAAGCAAAAAUAUUUAGAUAUUUACUCAGUUGAAAACGUGGGGGGUGGCUUCGUGGUCUCUUCGCCAGCCAAAUCGCGUGGAAAACCACGACCUCAAUUUUUACAACAGCACGAAGACUUACAAGUGAGCGUAGCAGCGACUUCCUGGAACCUCAAACAAUGUGGGACGCUGCAAUAAUGCCUGAGGGCUUUUGACUUACAGUUGCCGCCGGAGACCUGGGGAGGGGGUAGUACUUGGGCCGGUGAGUCCAGCCUCAGGAACUGUCCUUUCAAAAAUGGUGAUGGAUGUAACAAGUUGCAUGUCUGGGCUUUAUUUCAGUGUAUUAAUUGUGCGAUCUUUUAAAAUAGCUGUAUUUUUAAAACUGUUUUACAGAAAUCUCUUUAAAAUGUGAUUAUUCUCUAUAUUCUUAAAGAAUACAAUGGCUAAUUAAAUCCUUUGUUGAUAACUGACUCUCAAACCGAUAUCUUGGCCAUACGUUUAAGUCCCAGAGGAUUGCUGCGGUGUAUAGAAUCCCUACUUUGGUGCUCUCUUUUUUUCCCUCUUUGGAAUGUUCUCAUCACCUCUUCUAAAAUCCUUCACUGCUUUUCAUCUCCUCAUCUGCCUCUAUCCACUCUGAUCCUUCCUCUUAUUCUUUCUGCUUUACUGUUUAUUUUUCAUUCUUCUCUCCUUUCUCGGCUGGUUUUCUCUGCGGCUCCAGGUGAAGAUUGAUGGGAUGUUUAUGUCCACAGCCAGCUAAUGAGAGGUUUCUUUUCUUCUGGUUGUAAAUAGGGCAGUGGUAUCUUGAGAUAUUUUCAUUGCUCUUCACUAUCAGAAGUUCUUUCCCUGUGAGAGAUGUUUCCUUUUCUUAACUUUUGGAUUUGGCCCUCUUCGAGACAGCUGGCAAGUUGAUCUUGGAAUAAUUGAAGUAUAACUGUAUAUUGUUUCAAAGUAUGAGGAUUUUAUCAGAGUGUGGGCGAAUGGGGUGGCUUCCCCAUCUUACUGCCCAACUAUGCUUGGUCUGAGACUAAGAUAGUGGUUUCCAAACUUACCGCUAAGCUAAUACUUUCCUACUCUGCUUCCUACUCAGGAGCUUUUUGAAAAUACAGAAUCCUGCAAUCUACCCCCUCAAGAUUCUGAUUCCUUUGUCCAGGGAGAGGCCAAGACAUGGCACUUUUAAAAACUAUAUUUAAAAAAAUAUGUUUGGGACAUGCCUACAUGUAAAGGCAGAGUAAAGAAGAUCAGCUGUUUUUGAAGGAGAUUAACACAUAAUUUAAGAAUGUUAUUGAAGACCUAGAGAUUGUAGUCAAUAAUAUGCAAUGCAGUAAGGUGAAGUAAAGUGAAGACCAAGGAAUUUAUGGCCUUUGGAGAGAAGAAAACCCACACAUAAAUGACCCUAGCAUGUGCACCAGUAUGAGUUCUCUGGGAACAGAGAGAGGGUCAAGAAAUUAUGUUGGCUUUGAACAAGUUCUCUUCUCAAUGCUUCACUUUUUUUUUAUCAAUAAAAUGGGAGCCAUUUUCAAUCCUCAUCUUUCUUGGCCUCUCAACAAUACUCAACACUUUGACCACUAUUCUUUCUUAAACAUUUCUUCUUCCUUUGACACUGCAUUUUCUUGGUUUUCCUCCUUAGUUUCCUAGGCACUGCUUCUCUGAUUCCUUUGCAUAUUCCUGCUGGUCUCCCUAACUAUUAAAUAUAACAGUACCUUAAAAUUCAGUUUUAGAUUCUUUUCUGUUUUCAUUGUAAUCUCUUGGCCUAAGCAGCAUCACCCACGCCAAUGGCUUUAGUUAUCAUCUAUAUGCCAGUGAUCUCCACAUAUAUGCCUCCAGCCCAGACCUUUCCUCUAAAUUCCAAAUCUGAUCCACUAGUCAAAGUUUGACCCUACCUCUAAAUUCCAAGCUUCACUGACAUGGCCACUUAAUAUCUCAAAGUUGCAAAGUUUAGUCCAACUGAGUUCAUGAACACUUGUUUUCCUUAUCCCCCAUCUCUCUAGUUAUUCAAAUCAAAUAUCUAGUAGUCAGUAACCGCUGAUGUCUCCCUCACCUCCAUUCUUCCAUUCUCCAUAUUUGUUGCAGCACUAACUCCUGGCAAUUUUAUUUCUAAAAUCUAAUUGGUCUACUUCUUUCCAAUCACCACCAAUCUAAUUCGAUCUCACUGUAUACAAUCUGGGAUCCUCCAUUCAGUCUCCAUUUUGCAGCCAAAAUUAUCCUCUAAGAAAGCAAAUGAGACUAUGUCACUACUCCAAAAAUCUCCUUAAACAGUUUCUCAUUGCUUUAGGAUAAGUCUAGAAUUCUUAAGGCAGCCUAAAAGACCAUACGAGGUCUGGCCUUACCUGCCUUUUCCAGCCUCAUCUCACACCAUUUUCACCUUGUUUCCUGGGCAGACUUCCUGGUCUUCUUUUAGUUUCUCAAAAAUGCUAUGAUCCCAACAACCAAAGGCUCUAUGUACAUGCCAUUCUCUCCUUUAGUUAUCCUAUCUCUUACUCAUCCUUCAGGUCUCAGCUUGAAAGCGACAUCCUUGGGAAAAACAUUUCUGACCUCCCAGAUACAUUCAAGAUACCUUGUUAUGUCAGCUCUCUUACCACCAUAUACCCUCCCCUCUUAUGACUUACCACAGCUUGUAACUACAUUUUGGUAUGUGUAACUACUAGGUUAAUGUCUGUUGCUCCCCACAUUAGGAUAAAGACCAUGUCUAUUUGGGCCUGCACAGUGCCUGGCACAUAGAAGCUACCCAAUAAAUAUUUCUUGAAUGAUUAUUGUCCUAUGAGUUUAUUUCUGGGAUUCUAGAAGGUUGUUAGAUCG
rnacentral:lncRNA from 1 species